UUGUAUUUGUAUUUGGUCAUAUGCUCUUACAAUUAAAUUAUUUUCUCUCUCUCUUCCAUUUACUUCUCUCUCGGUCUUCCCUCUAUGGUCAUACGAACAUACUCUGUCUUCCAUUAAGAAAGUAGGCUCGCUACCUUCCUUCCAUUUCCUCUAUCUCCAUCAUCGUGUUUUGCGAUCGCUGCGAGUUGAAGAUUUGUUUCUGGGCUUACCGUGUCGAGAAUUCACGCAUUGUAGGCGAGUUAUAGUGAGGUUUGUAUUCCCCGCAAAAGGUUAUAAAUAGAAAAUCAUGAGAUCGAAGACAAUUGUGCGAUCGAAGACAGUUGUGCGAUCGAAGAGCUGGAAACACUUGUUGGAUCCAUCGACUUCUAACCCCUUUGGUAAAGGGGGAGGGGGUUGAAGUGAAGGAGAAGAAAAACUCUAAAAAGAAGCCAAAGCAACCCAAGAACUUUGAGAAUGUGGAUGAUGGAGAAGAUGAUGAAUACAAUGGUUCUAGUAAUAACCAUUCUGAUGAAGAUAGUGAAGAGGAAUCGUGCACUCCCUCUGACUUCAUGAAGAUGAUGAUGGGAUUCGUAAAGAGUAAGAGUCGGAAGAGGAAAAGGCCAAAGGGUGAAAUAAUUGAAGGGCAAAAGGUGGUGAGCGAAGGGGCAGUGUUGAAGACCCAUCAUGAGAACGUCAGAAAGAUUUAUUAUCUGGAUCACUUGGAUCGUGUUCCCGUUAAGUAGGGUGUUUACCCGAGGGUGAAGGUGUGGAACAGUGGUGAGGUGAAGGCAACUCUUCUUAAAGAUAAAGUGUCGACCAACGAGUUUGGCCGUCGAUGUUGCGUAGGGGGAGGAGCAUCCCCUAGUACCAAGGGAGAGCGCUGGUGGUGUUAACAAGAAGGCGUAACUAUCAGGGGAUAGGGAUCAGGCUUUGGUGGAUGAUGUCGUGGAGCGGGUAUUAGCUCAGUUGAGCACAAGGUUGGUUAGUGUUGUUAAAAGUGAUGUUGCUCGUGCCAUGAGCAGAGGAUAUGAUGCAAACAUGACAAGGACCAACCGGGAGAUGUAUACACUGAGAAAGGGAGCCAUCCGCAGACCGACACGACAAUAGAAAGUAAUGGUUCUCUAAUAAAUAAUCUGUGGGUGAAGUAAGGAAGGAUGGAAAAGACUGUUCAUCAUCUAAAGGGUCGACGGAGGGAGUUGAUUUCUUGGAUUUUGCAAAAAAUAACGACAAGCAUGAUUCGACGGACAAGCAGCUGCUAACCUUUGUUCGAGGCAGGAAGAAAUUGAAAGAUGAAAACAUGUAAGUAAAACUUCUGGUUCAAGGUUCACUACUAGAAAUAGGCUUAUUUUCGAGGGAAUGCUUCCGACGGAAU